GUUGCAGGAUGCAGGAUCAACCAGGUAGCAUUCCUAACAGAUGCCGUCGUCACACAAGGCUGGCAAGCCCGAGAGAUGCGGCGUCUCGAGACGGCGACGGCAGUCAUUCGAUGUAGGCAAUUGACGUCGAGUUCGGGCAAAUAGAGGUUAUCGAGCGACCCCCUGCCCUCCUGGUGUACCGCAUCUGAGAGUUUAGGGGACAGACCGUGGGCUGAGACGCAUCGCUUGGCUGCUACUCAAAACACGGACGCACCAUCGUGGUUCAUCCCAUGUUGCGCCCGUAAGAAGGGCACAGCGCUGGAAGAACAUCCGUCGUUGGGUCGUGCGAAUUCUUUUUGGUAGGUAUGCAGUACAAGAAACCCGCAUGCAGCCAAGGCUGGCGAUGUUGCUCUUAGGCCAACACGACUGAAGAGUAGUGCAAGAGAGGGCGUCGCCGCUCUAGUGGGGAUCCAACCAACCCCAUACAAGACAU
rnacentral:misc_RNA from 1 species